CCUACGGGAGGCAGCAGUGAGGAAUAUUGGUCAAUGGGCGCGAGCCUGAACCAGCCAAGUCGCGUGAGGGAUGACGGCCCUACGGGUUGUAAACCUCUUUUGCCGGGGAGCAACGGGCGCCACGUGUGGCGCCACUGAGAGUACCCGGAGAAAAAGCAUCGGCUAACUCCGUGCCAGCAGCCGCGGUAAUACGGAGGAUGCGAGCGUUAUCCGGAUUUAUUGGGUUUAAAGGGUGCGUAGGCUGUCGGAUAAGUUAGAGGUCAAAUGUCGGGGCUUAACCCCGUGCCUGCCUCUGAUACUGUUCGACUAGAGAGCGGAUGCAGCAGGCGGAAUGAGUAGUGUAGCGGUGAAAUGCUUAGAUAUUACUCAGAACACCGAUUGCGCAGGCAGCUUGCUAAUCCGCAUCUGACGCUGAUGCACGAAAGCGUGGGUAGCGAACAGGAUUAGAUACCCUAGUAGUC
rnacentral:rRNA from 1 species